UCCGUAGGGUAACCUGCGGAGGG
rnacentral:rRNA from 1 species